rnacentral:rRNA from 1 species
CUACGGGUUGCAGCAGUGGGGAAUAUUGCACAAUGGGCGCAAGCCUGAUGCAGCAACGCCGCGUGAGGGAUGAAGGCCUUCGGGUUGUAAACCUCUUUUAGCAGGGAAGAAGCGAAAGUGACGGUACCUGCAGAAAAAGCACCGGCUAACUACGUGCCAGCAGCCGCGGUAAUACGUAGGGUGCAAGCGUUGUUCGGAAUUAUUGGGCGUAAAGAGCUCGUAGGCGGUUUGUCACGUCUGCUGUGAAAAUCCAAGGCUCAACCUUGGACUUGCAGUGGGUACGGGCAGGCUAGAGUGCGGUAGGGGAGAUGGGAAUUCCUGGUGUAGCGGUGGAAUGCGCAGAUAUCAGGAGGAACACCAAUGGCGAAGGCACAUCUCUGGGCCGUAACUGACGCUGAGGAGCGAAAGCGUGGGGAGCGAACAGGAUUAGAUACCCUGGUAGUC